rnacentral:rRNA from 1 species
GACGAACGCUGGCGGCGUGCUUAACACAUGCAAGUCGAACGGAAAGGCCCUGCUUGCAGGGUACUCGAGUGGCGAACGGGUGAGUAACACGUGGGUGAUCUGCCCUGCACUUCGGAAUAAGCCUGGGAAACUGGGUCUAAUACCGGAUAGGACCAUCGUUUAGUGUCGGUGGUGGAAAGUUUUUCGGUGCAGGAUGAGCCCGCGGCCUAUCAGCUUGUUGGUGGGGUAAUGGCCUACCAAGGCGUCGACGGGUAGCCGGCCUGAGAGGGUGGACGGCCACAUUGGGACUGAGACACGGCCCAGACUCCUACGGGAGGCAGCAGUGGGGAAUAUUGCACAAUGGGCGCAAGCCUGAUGCAGCGACGCCGCGUGGGGGAUGAAGGCCUUCGGGUUGUAAACUCCUUUCAACCAUGACGAAGCUGGUCUUAUUGGGUCAGUGACGGUAGUGGUAGAAGAAGCACCGGCUAACUACGUGCCAGCCGCCGCAGUAA